rnacentral:lncRNA from 1 species
UGCAUAUAUAUUUAGGAUUGUCAUCUCUUCCUCUUGGAUUGUUCCCUUCACAAAGAUGUAGUGACCAUCUUUGUCUCUCUUAAUUAGUUUUGGUUUGAAAUCUAGAUUGUCUGCAAAUAAGAUUGCUACCCCUGCUUUCUUCUGGGUGCCUGUGGCAUGAAGAACUGUUUUCCAUCCUUUUACUUUCAGUCUAUGAAUUUCUUUUUGAGUUAGGUGUGUAUUUUUUGUGUACAGCAUAUUGUUGGAUUUUGCUUCUUAAUCCAUUCUGUCAGUCUAUUUCUUUUGAUUGGUGAAUUGAGGCCAUUAGCAUUGAUGGUUAUAAUUGGUAAAUAUUGACUUAUCUUUGUCAUGAUGUUUUAUUGGUGUUGGCUGUUUUAUUUUUUAUCCUCCUGCCUUUCCCUUUAGUUUCUUGCCUUGCCUGGUGGCUUUGCUCUGUUGGGCCUCAUGGAGUUGUGGCCUUCAUUUUCUUUUUCUAGGAUAUUGCUUAGAAUUGUUUGGAGAGUGGAUUUGGUGUUCAUGAAAUUUCUCAGGUGUUCUUUGUCAUGGAAGUAUCUAAUUUCCCCAUCGAUUUUGAAAGAUAAUUUUGUAGGAUACAACAGUCUAGGUUGGAAGUUAUUUCCUUUCAGGCCUUGAAAUACUUUGCUCCAUGCUCUUCUUAACUUGAGGGUUUGUGUUGAGAAGUCUUCUGUGAUUCUUAUAGGCUUUCCUUUGUAGGUGAUUUGUUUCUUUUCUCUAACUGCUUGUAGGAUUUUGUUCUUCUGUUGAGUUUCUGGGAUCUUGACUAUUAUAUGUCUAGGUGUAGCUUGUUUUGAUCAUGGAUAGUUGGAGUUCUAUAUGCCUCACUUAUCUGUAUAUCAAAUUCACUACCUCUGGGAAAUUUUCAUCUAUUACUUCUGUGAAAAGUUGUUUUAUUUCAUUUGUACUUUCUCCUGCUUAUGUUGUUUUUCUUUGGGUUUUUUUCUGCAUUUUCUUAUGUCAUUUUUCUUUGCACCACCUAGCAGUUGCUGGAUUAAUUUCUCAUGGUCCCUUACUAUUUUGAAGAAAUCUCUGUAUUUAUGGUCAAUAACUAUAGUCCUGUCUUCUAUAUCUGAUAUUCUAUCUUCACAUUCAUUCAAUCUGCUGUGAAUACUUUCAAUGGAGUUUUUAAUCUCCUGGAUAUCUAUUUGAAUUUGUUUCAUGGGUUCCAUUUCUUUCCUAUGUUUGGUGAUCAUGGUUUCCAUUUCUUUCUUAUGCUGGCUUCCAGCAUGGUUGUGAGCUCAUCUAUUUCUUUAUCUGUUUCUGUUCUAGAGCCUCUAGUCCUGUCUUUCAUUCUGCUCACCAUCUCUGUAGUUAUCUGAGAAAUUAUUUCUGUUUUGAAUUUUUCUAGAGCUUCAUUCUUCUGUUUUGUUACUUCCUGUGCUAUCAGUUCAGCAUGUCCAGGUGGUUGAUUAUCAUAUUUUGCCACCUUCUUUCCCCCAGAAUUUGCCUUUGGUGAGCUGGAAGUCUGUGUUUGUGUCUUUCCA